rnacentral:rRNA from 1 species
UACGUAGGGUGCGAGCGUUAAUCGGAAUUACUGGGCGUAAAGCGUGCGCAGGCGGUCUGUUAAGACCGAUGUGAAACUCCCCGGGCUUAACCUGGGAACUGCAUUGGUGACUGGCAGGCUUUGAGUGUGGCAGAGGGAGGUAGAAUUCCACGGUGUAGCAGUGAAAUGCGUAGAGAUGUGGAGGAAUACCGAGUGGCGAAAGGCAGCCUCCUGGGCCGAACACUGACGCUCGAUGCACGAAAGCGUGGGGAGCAAACAGG